rnacentral:misc_RNA from 1 species
CGCACAUUGCGCCCUCUGGUAUUCCGGAGGGCAUGCCUGUUCGAGCGUCAUUAUCACCCCUCAAGCCCGGCUUGUUGUUGGACGCGGCGGCGCCGUUUGCGCCCCGCCCGUCUCAAAGAUAAUGACGGCGUCUGCGAGGACCCCUGUACACUGAGCUUUCGGGCACGUACUAGGUGUGGAAUCCAGACCCGGUCACCGUCCCUUCUAGGGACAAAACUUUUAACCAGGUUGACCUCGGAUCAGGUAGGAAUACCCGCUGAACUUAA